GACGAACCGUGCGAACGUUAUUCGGAAUCACUGGGCUUAAAGGGCGCGUAGGCGGGUCCGUAAGUCAGGGGUGAAAUCCCACGGCCCAACCGUGGAAGUGCCUUUGAUACUGCGGGCCUCGAGGGGGGUAGGGGCGUGCGGAACUCAGGGUGGAGCGGUGAAAUGCGUAGAUAUCCUGAGGAACACCGGUGGCGAAAGCGGCGCGCUGGACCCCUUCUGACGCUGAGGCGCGAAAGCCAGGGGAGCAAACGGG
rnacentral:rRNA from 1 species